rnacentral:rRNA from 1 species
AAACCAGCACCUCAAGUGGUCAGGAUGAUUAUUGGGCCUAAAGCAUCCGUAGCCUGCUCUGUAAGUUUUCGGUUAAAUCUGUACGCUCAACGUACAGGCUGUCGGGAAUACUGCAGAGCUAGGGAGUGGGAGAGGUAGACGGUACUCGGGAGGAAGUGGUAAAAUGCUUUGAUCUCUCGAUGACCACCUGUGGCGAAGGCGGUCUACCAGAACACGUCCGACGGUGAGGGAUGAAAGCUGGGGGAGCAAACCGGAUUAGAAACCCUAGUAGUCC